AUUCAUUUUAUUCUUUGUGCCACAGCAGUGUGCAGUCUCAGCUGCACUAGCCUCGCCCUCCUGACAUAGCAGUGGCUCUGAGCUCUCUCCUACUUUCUCCCAAAUGCAUUACUGCUGGCGAGACCUCUAAGGAGUUCAGGAGGAAUUUUAUCACUAUCCAAGCUUCACAGGAUUGCUGUGACCCUGAUUGUUGAAUUUUGUCCUUUUUAUGAAGUCCUUGCCGCCCUUCUUUUCUUUUUUUUUUUUUUUUUUUAAUCUGAAGGGUAAGUAGAUUUCCUUUAACAUUUCUCUUGCUUUUCUUCCCAAAUGUGUCUUUCCUUUGGUACCUGCCUCCAGUGCUGUCCCCGGCAUAGGUCCGUCUCUGCAGAAGCCUUUUCAAGAGUACCUGGAGGCGCAGCGGCAGAAGCUUCAUCACAGAAGUGAAGCGGGCACACCGCAGGUGAGGAUCCCUCCUGCUUCUCCCCCCUCGGCAGGCAUCAGCAGGCUCAAACUAGAUCCGGAGCUCUCCGGGUUUUAGAUGGGGUGGCUGAGGGAGUUUAUUGGUCUAUGUCUAGUGGCUUUUCAGAAACAAGGAUGGGGUAAUGGAAGACAGGAUUCUGUUGUGUGUGAUGCUGUCUUGAUCUUACAUGAGUUAUUACAUACAUUUCCAGGCUAGGUUAAAAAGUUAACACGUGCACCAUCACCAAGCAGUAGGUAAAAUGGUUAUCCCCUUUCAUUUCUGCUGUAGGAAAGCAACUGCUUGCUUGCUUUUCUUUUCUUUCUUUCUUUCUUUUUUCUUUUCUUUUCUUUUCUUUUCUUUUCUUUUCUUCUUUUCCUUUCUUCCUUCCUUCCUCUCUUUCUUUCUUUCUUUCUUUCUUUCUUUCUUUCUUUCUUUCUUUCUUUCUUUCUUUCUUUUUUCUUUUAAAUAAAGCAAGGCUUUUACCACAGCUGAACUUUUAACUUGAAUAAACUGCCUGGCCGUUUUGCCUUCAGUUCCUGAGGCAGAGGAAAGAACCAGCAGAUGUGUAGGCAGCACCCUGAACAGGGAGCCUGGGGGAGAGCAGCCGCUUUCCCUUGGCUUUAGACUUCAAAUAGCUCUUUGCCGCUGUGGCCAAAGAGGGCUCACAUUUAUGUUCUAAAAGCAGCUCUCAGAGUUUAGGUCCUCUUCCCCUUCCAAGCAAGGUCUGCAAGGCUGUAGAGAAAGUAUAGACUCUAACCAGACCACUCUGUCACAGUGUAAAAGGACAGCCCACCCUCCCAUCCCUCCCUAAGCCAUACAGGUUAGCAUCAGCUAUCCAUCCCACAGCUUGAACUGACAACCUAGUGUGGAAAAGCUUGGCCUGAAUGUGGAUUUCAGCCUACCUAGAGACCGGUUUUUAGUUGUUUGGGUAUAAUAGGCAAGCCUCAAGUUCUCAUUGUUUCCCUUGAAGUGUUGCAAAUAAUCUCCUUAGUGUUGAACCGAGGAAACCCUUUUUCUUGAAUUGUUCUGCUUUCUUUCCUACAGGGAGAAAACUGGUUAUCCUGGAUGUUUGAGAAGCUGGUGGUUGCAAUGGUGUGUUACUUUGUCCUGUCUAUUAUUAACUCCAUGGCACAAAACUAUGCCAAACGAAUCCAGCAGCGCUUGAACUCAGAGGAGAAAACUAAAUAAGCAGAGAGUUUUUAUCUGCAGAAGUUAACAUGGUGGAGUCCUGCCUUACACUGGGAGGGCUCUAACCAGGAAGGAAGGUCCCCGUUUCCAACCUGUGUUGAUUUUUAAAACAUUCUUCCUGAAAGCAGUUUAGUCCAUAUGUUACACUGACAUACUUUAUUUGUUAAGGUAAGGUGUCUACACCCUCAGUUCAAUCCACGUCGUAUUCUUUAGGGUGGAUGUGAUGUUCUGCUGCAAACUUAACAAAAACUGGCCUUCUGAUACCUUCACAGGGCCACACAGAACCUUCUGAAGUAUGUUAAAUAUGUCAGGCUUUUUAGGCUUGUCACAAAUGAUUGUUUUUUUCUAAGUCACCAAAUGUAUAUAAGUUAUAUAUAUUGGAUAGCAAUCUUGCAUGUCUAUCAUGGAACAAUUUAAUAUGCCUUCCUUUCCCACCCUCAAAAAGGCCAUUUUAUGACGCAUUGCACACCCUCUGGGGAAAUUGAUCUUUAAAUUUUGAAACAGUAUAAGGAAAAUCUGGUUGGUGUCUCACAAAUGAGUACGCCAUUUUUUAUUCUGUAUAUUUAGAAUGAAGUCGUGAAAAACUUUAUAAAGACAUCUUUGAUCAUUCCG
rnacentral:lncRNA from 1 species